CUACGUGCCAGCAGCCGCGGUAAUACGUAGGUCCCGAGCGUUGUCCGGAUUUAUUGGGCGUAAAGCGAGCGCAGGCGGUUAGAUAAGUCUGAAGUUAAAGGCUGUGGCUUAACCAUAGUACGCUUUGGAAACUGUUUAACUUGAGUGCAAGAGGGGAGAGUGGAAUUCCAUGUGUAGCGGUGAAAUGCGUAGAUAUAUGGAGGAACACCGGUGGCGAAAGCGGCUCUCUGGCUUGUAACUGACGCUGAGGCUCGAAAGCGUGGGGAGCAAACAGGAUUAGAUACCCUAGUAGUCCACGCCGUAAACGAUGAGUGCUAGGUGUUAGACCCUUUCCGGGGUUUAGUGCCGCAGCUAACGCAUUAAGCACUCCGCCUGGGGAGUACGACCGCAAGGUUGAAACUCAAAGGAAUUGACGGGGGCCCGCACAAGCGGUGGAGCAUGUGGUUUAAUUCGAUGCAACGCGAAGAACCUUACCUACUCUUGACAUCCAGAGAACAUUC
rnacentral:rRNA from 1 species